GCCAGCCCAUUUUUUUUAAAAUAAAGGAAUAAAGAAAGACCGAUCGGUCGAACCGGCGACUCGAUAUCGUAUUGCGGCGAUUAGUCGUAUUUGACGUUUCCACGACAUUUGACAGAUCCGAUUGGACACACGAUAUCACGGUUAUGACUAUGUGUCUGUUCGUCGAGGCAGUUCCCGAUUCUGUCGGAAUAAAUUCGGAAUGCGAUAGGGUCGCGACCCACGAGGAUCGUGUUCUACCUCCUUUCUCUUUGUGGCCGUGCUCUCCUCUGUCUGUCUGUCCGAUUUCGUGGAUUUCAUUUUGGCGCAAGCCGGGUCCUUUCCCGGAAAAUAUCUACUCACCGUCGUAACGCUCCGCCUGCUCCGCCAGUUUCGCUUUGUAAACGUUGUCCUCCCGUUCCGACAUCUUGGAUGCUUCUAGAUUUCACGGGCCGGACGAAAGGUUCCAGGGAAAUCGCACGAAAUCCUCGUUUCACCGAAAUACGUACACCUCGUCGUACAGCCACUCGCAAGCUCACUGACCAAGAUGGCGGCGCCCGCCAACAAUCGAAAGCAGUUCCCAGUUCGCGCAGCCUCUGCGGACACUCCACUCGCCAUGCGCUCCCUGUCUCGUGUAUUACUACGCCAUUCGUGACGUCAUUCGUUCGGCGGCCACCAAAGGCCCCACGCGCAUGACGGUUAAAUUCGCCCCGAAUAUCCCCGUAUAUCCGGUCUAUCAAAACCUGGCCAAGUUUCAUUUGAAAUUGAAAUAGCUGAUAAUUGGACUGCAGAUGUUUAUGCAAUUUCGAGUUUUUUUAUGAACAGCUUUCCGAAGGCCGAUAUCUAUUCAGACACAUGUCUUCAUUACAAUAAUAUCCCGAUCGACUUGAAGACAUUGCAACUACAUUAUCUAAUGAUCAAAUUGAAUGUUAAAUUGUUUCUGAAAUUGUUCAAUUUCAAGCAUAAGGAUAUUGUUGCACUGGUAAAACUUCGGUGCAACGAUGCAGAAUAAAUUCAUGUAUACAGAUUUUGUAGAAUACCUAUUACUACAUGGAAAAUAUAAAAAACAAACCGAAAGUUAUCCGGUAUGGACAUCUUUGUAAUUGCGAAGGGAGCAAAUCUAUGUAUCUGCAAUAAUACUUCAAUUGCUAUUGUAAAAGUACCUCAAACUGUAGAACGAGAACAACGUAGUUUCUUGGCGAUCGCAAUAAAUAACGAAUACUUGAAUAUAUUUUAGUCGCACGUCAUAAAAUCGAUGACGCACAAUGGCUAACCGGAACAAAGAAUUACAACGAAAAACUGAAAGAAAAACUUUACCACGGAAAUUGAAACGCAAUAAAAAAAGUAGUUCAGAUUUGUCUGGAUUUAGAUGAGAAUUAAUGGUGCUCAUUGGAUUCGUCAGUUUCAGCUUGUGAUAACAUAAAGUCGUUCAGCGCGGCCAAUUUGAAAACUAAAGUAAAGCAACACACGAUAUAACAAGAAAUGGAUCGAUCAGUGGGUAGCAAUAAAAUGUUCAACGAUGAUCGUUACCCGUUCACGACCGUUCAUUUUUAAUUUGUUACAAUAAAUCAAUACAAUUCAUUCGAUGGAA